GGCACGCUAGUUGCAGUCACGGCAGAGCGGGGAUCAACAGCCAGAUUACCUUGCAAGAUCAAUUCACAAAACCCUGAAGAUCCUGUGCUCCUCGUCCUGUGGUACAAGAAUGCGUCGGUCACUCCCGUGUACAGCUACGACUCCCGAGGAACUGACGGAGGCGAGGGAGCGAGUGGCCGGCACAGGCAGUGGGGCGACGAGGCAGUAUGGGGCAAGGAACAGAGGGCCUGGUUCGACAUCUCGACCACCCCGGCUCAACUCCUGAUUCGAAACGUGUUGGGUCGAGACGAAGGCAACUACAGGUGCAAGGUGCAUUUUAAAGGAUCUCCGUCUUGGUCCCAGAGGAUUACACUGAAUGUAAAAGAUCCUCCGGGUUUCCCAAAGAUACAGGAUGCAUCUGGACUAAGGCUAGAAGGUCCUAUUGGUCCUUAUGAAGACGGGUCUACAGUCAGGAUGAUGUGCAUGAG